rnacentral:rRNA from 1 species
UACGUAGGGUGUGAGCGUUAAUCGGAAUUACUGGGCGUAAAGCGUGCGCAGGCGGUUUUGUAAGCCAGAUGUGAAAUCCCCGGGCUUAACCUGGGAAUGGCAUUUGGGACUGCAAGGCUUGAGUGCGGCAGAGGAGACUGGAAUUCCUGGUGUAGCAGUGAAAUGCGUAGAUAUCAGGAGGAACACCGAUGGCGAAGGCAGGUCUCUGGGCUGACACUGACGCUCAUGCACGAAAGCGUGGGGAGCAAACAGG